AUAAAGUAACAGAUUUGUAUGUUACCAUCAUUAUUGGAGCCCCAGGAUUAAGUCUCAGAGAUCCAUUAGAUCAAAUGAAGAGGUGGGAAACAGUUUAAAUGGAAACAGAACCACAGAUGGAACAUUCCACACUCUCGAGGGAUUGGGUCAUAAAACUAAAAUGUUCAGAGAACUUAAUUUGACAGGCCAAGCUGCCAACCAGAAAUGAGAAGCUAAGAGGAGGGGACAGAAGAAGUGAAUUUUUCAGACAGAAGACUUAACUUUGGCAUUGUGAAAGGUGACUUCAUAAAGCCUGAGUAAUGAGAACCUGGAAGCUGAUCAUGGAAAUGAAGCAGGGUGAGGGCCUCAUCAUUCCUUGCCAGGACCUAUCAAACAAUCACCAACUAUAA